GCAUUUGUGGUUCAAUUGUAGAAUUCUCACUUUCCAUGCGGGAGACCUGGGUUCCAUUUCCUACCAGUGCA
rnacentral:tRNA from 1 species